GACGAACGCUGGCGGCGUGCUUAACACAUGCAAGUCGAACGGAAAGGCCCUGCUUUUGUGGGGUGCUCGAGUGGCGAACGGGUGAGUAACACUUGAGUAACCUGCCCUUUACUUUGGUAUAACUUCAGGAAACUGGUGCUAAUACCGGAUAGGAUCUCCUGCUGCAUGGUGGGGUUUGGAAUGUUUCGUCGGUUGGGGAUGGACUCGCGGCUUAUCAGCUUGUUUGUGGGGUAGUGGCUUACCAAGGAUUUGACGGGUAGCCGGCAUGAGAGGGUGACAGGCCAAAUGGGGACUGAGAUACGGAACAGAAUAAUACGGGAGGCAGCAGAGGGGAAUAGUGCACAAUGGGAGGAAGCAUGAUGCAGAAAAGCAGCGGGCGGGAUGAAGGCAUUCGGGUUGUAAAAAGCUUUAGAAUGUGAAGAAGAGUGAGUGACGGUAAUGGGUAAAGAAGCACCGGCUAACUACGUG
rnacentral:rRNA from 1 species